rnacentral:lncRNA from 1 species
CUAGAGGAUUUUCAGAUGCUUAUGUCAACUUGUUUGGGCAUCUGCACCCUUAGUCCAAUUCUCUAUAUGGAGUGGAUGGCAUUUCCCAUCAUGAUUCCUUUGAAGUUGUGCUGGAUCAUUGUACUGCUCAGAGUUCCUAAGUCUUUUGUGAUUUUACAGUAUUGCUGUUCCUGGACAGAUUGUUCUGGUUCUGCUCACUUCACUUUUCAUCACUUCUUCUCCCCCACCCCCUCCAGGUUUUUCUGAAACCUUCAUCAUUUUUUAUGUUCCGUGACAAGUCAGACACAGUUCUGUUUCUACUGUUUCACACUCAGCCAAUCAUUUUUUUAUCUUCUCACUCUUAUAGCCUCAAAAAAAGGUCAUGCUUUUGGAGCUCGCACAGAAAAACUGAGAAUUGAGCAUUUGUAAAUUGGUAUGAACUCCCUGGGGGGGAAAAAAGACCAUAGAAAAAGCAGCUGUAGGGUUAGGAGGUUAUGGCUCCUAACAGCCUUCACAGAAAUGUCUGUUAUGUUGUGUAGAGCACAUUAGCAAAAAUCAUUAAGAAACUGGACAGCAAUAAUGGAAGCAAGCUGGCGUCCUCCAGCUCAGCCCAAGAUCAUUGUCACGAGUGCCAUUGGUCUCAGCAGACUCCACUCCAGUUUCGCAUAUUCCUGCCAGGGGAGCUUGUCCCACAGACCCUCUUUUCUACCUGGCUGGGAAGAGGCAGGAGAAUGUCUACUAGACAGCUUCCCUUUUGUAUCAUCCUUUCAGUACCUCAGUAUUUCAAGGCUUUCUAGUGGUAUUUAAAUAAUAAACUCUAUGAAAUUUUGGGAGUUGUUUGGAAUCUUUUUUUUUUUUUUUUUUUUUAAUUUUAUAGUAUUUUAUUUGAUCAUUUCCAUGCAUUUUUCAUUAAAGACAAAGAUCGUUUUCUUUUCCUCCCUCCCACCCCCCCGUGGCCGACGCGUGAUUCCACUGGUAUCAUAUGUGUUCUUGACUUCAACCCAUUGCCAUGUUGUUAGCAUUUGCAUCAGAGUGUUCGCUCAGAGUCUUUCCUCUGUCAUGUCCCCUCAGCCAUUGUAGUCGGGCAGUUGCUUUUCCUUGGUGUUUCUACUCCCUCAGUUUGUCCUCUGCUUUUGGAUAGUGUUUUUUUUCUCCUUGAUCCCUGCAGAUUGUGCAGGGACAUUACACCACCACUAAUGGAGAAGUCCAUUAUAUUCGAUAUACCACAGUGUGUUUGUCUCUGUGUACAAUGUUCUCCUGGUUCUCGCUCUCUCUCGCUCUGCAUCACUUCCUGGAGGUUGUUCCAGUUCACAUGGAAUUCCUCCACUUUAUUGUUCCUUUGAGCACAAUAGUAUUCCAUCACCAACAUAUACCACAAUUUGUUCAGCCAUUCCCCAAUUGAAGGGCAUGCCCUCGUUUUCCAAUUUUUGGCCACCACAAAGAGCGCAGCUAUGAAUAUUUUUGUACAAGUCUUUGUGUCCAUUAUCUCUUUGGGCUACAAACCCAGCAGUGCUAUGGCUGGAUCAAAGGGUAGACAUUCUUUUAUCGCCCUUUGUGCAUAGUUCCAAAUUGGGUGGCAUUAUUCUUAAAGAGACUACUUGAGAAGAGCUUACAUUAUCAGAGGAUCAUUCUGAACUAUCAGGGGAAAGGUAACUUUAAAUGUCAUUUCUUUCCUUGUGUACUUUUUCCCAUCCAACUGCUGGAACUGUUGACAAUUGCUUUGCAGCAUUUGGCUAGUCAUGCUUCUUUGUUCCUAUUGGCACUACUUGGGAGUCAUGGCUCUGAGCUGCUCCCAGACUGCCCAGAGAUACUUGUCUAAGUUGUGUUAGAUGCCACUGAUAAGCACAGCUCCUCUUUCUGGUCAUCUAACAAAAGUUGACAUUGCCAGAAAAUUGAUAAAGGUGAGCUUACAAAAAAGCAAAGUAUAUUGAAAUAGGGCUUAAGGCACUCUUAGCACAAAAAUACAAGAUUGAGGGUUAUUUUGCUUUUAGGAUUUCUGUAGGUAUCAUUUAAACCAAAAACUGACCACACCCUUGGUAAGAGGCCAAUUACUAUACAUGUGUGAUUACUAUAUAUGUGAUUUUAUAUAUAUGUGAAUUACUAUAUAUGUGAUUACAAAGAUAGUACAAUACAUAGGUGGUAGGCUGUUCCAUUGGCUCCUUUCUAUCCUCAUAAAUUAUUUGGAAUGCUGAUAUAGAAGGCUUUUCUUUAUGUUUUUGAAUAAGGCAAGAAUUUGUAUUUCCCACUUUUUCCUCUGUUAAUAAACAUCUUUAAUCCAAGUAUCCUUUCCUUCA